rnacentral:lncRNA from 1 species
GCUAAGACAGAUUCUCCCGGGGCAAAAGAAAGCCCAAGGAGGGUUGGAAGAACCAUGGCCAGCAAGGGUCACACAGCGAGGAGCAGCAAGGAGGAGGAGGGAGGAACUUACAGGAUUACAGGACAGCCAAAAAAGAGGUUCUAGUCUGCGACAACAUCCUUGCCCACGCCCCUCAUCUCCAACAUCCUGUGCACGCAUACUCUGGCGAGUGGCGGCCUCGAUACUUGGUCGUUUUCA